AACGAACGCUGGCGGCAUGCCUAACACAUGCAAGUCGAACAAAGCCUUCGGGCUUAGUGGCGCACGGGUGCGUAACGCGUGGGAAUCUGCCCUUGGGUUCGGAAUAACAGUUAGAAAUGACUGCUAAUACCGGAUGAUGUCUUCGGACCAAAGAUUUAUCGCCCAAGGAUGAGCCCGCGUAGGAUUAGGUAGUUGGUGGGGUAAUGGCCCACCAAGCCGACGAUCCUUAGCUGGUCUGAGAGGAUGAUCAGCCACACUGGGACUGAGACACGGCCCAGACUCCUACGGGAGGCAGCAGUGGGGAAUAUUGGACAAUGGGCGAAAGCCUGAUCCAGCAAUGCCGCGUGAGUGAUGAAGGCCUUCGGGUUGUAAAGCUCUUUUACCAGGGAUGAUAAUGACAGUACCUGGAGAAUAAGCUCCGGCUAACUCCGUGCCAGCAGCCGCAGUAA
rnacentral:rRNA from 1 species